GCAUUCAAACUAGUGGUUGUGGACUUGGAUGGGAACAACUUGCUGGCUUUUAUGACAACCAGGAAAACGAAGUAGAGAGACAGGAACCACAGUGGAGUGAGAGGGGAUGAUCUGCAACACAUGGCCCAACGGGAAUCAAACCUUUGUUGCUGCGAUAACAAUAUGUGGUACGGGCUAAACCAGGUGUGAUUACGACUACCAGCGGUUGUACUUCAGAUGGACCUCAUCACCCUCUUUGCUGUCCUACUAGUGUAACCUUAUGAUCGGAUACAUACAAGUGUUGUCAAGGAUAAACAGAGAUCAUGCUAGCCCACAGCGAACACCAGAUUGACUUGUGAGUCUUCAAGCAGAAAUUAUGACAACACCUGCCUAAAGUUCCAGUUUCCUGAACAGCAUACCCUGUCUGUAUGAGACUCUGUCCCACCUGUCUUCAGUCAAGUCUGGACCCAAUGACUCAGACACCAGUCUUGUCAAGGCUAAUUAGAGGUAAGCAGUGCGAUAGGUGCAACUCAAACUUCACUCAAUCAAUCAUCCUCAGGUGCACGGUCUGAGCCAACCGCUUCAUGCAAACAUAGAUGAAACCACUGGAAUAUAGUUUUGUAUUAGUACUAUUUGUUUUUUAGUGCUCUGAACUGAUAUCCCCCUUACAUUACGUUUCACGUAGCAGUAAAAUGUCAUUAAUUCUGUGUACUAUCUUUCCAAAAUCCACCCAAAAGGGGUUUGCACCUGUGUCUUUGCACCCAAGUGGGCCCUACAGUGCACUCUUAUGUUUAUUUGAUG